rnacentral:rRNA from 1 species
AUUGAACGCUGGAGGCAGGCCUAACACAUGCAAGUCGAGCGAGCGGCGGACGGGUGAGUAAUGUCUGGGACACUGCCGGAUGGAGGGGGAUAACUACUGGAAACGGUAGCUAAUACCGCAUACGAUCAGAUGUGCCCAGAUGGGGUUAGCUAGUAGGUGGGGUAACGGCUCACCUAGGAGACGAUCCCUAGCGGGUCUGAGAGGAGGACCAGCCACACGGGAACUGAGACACGGUCCAGACUCCUACGGGAGGCAGCAGUGGGGAAUAUUGCACAAUGGGCGCAAGCCUGAUGCAGCCAUGCCGCGUGUGUGAAGAAGGCCUUCGGGUUGUAAAGCACUUUCAGCGGGGAGGCGUUACCCGCAGAAGAAGCACCGGCUAACUCCGUGCCAGCAGCCGCGGUAAUAC